AAAGCAACAGCUUUCUUCUAGCUUACCGGGGGUGCUGGUUGUGGGCAGGCCUGGUGGGGACGAAAUCCAUCAGCCCACAGGCAUGUCCCAGUGUCACUGCUGGGAGCCUGGAGGUGCUCCUGCAGCUGGAGGUUUUGCUUCGCUGCUCCCCAUGUCCUUCCCCUGCCUGGGGGUGUGCACUGGGGUGCCCGCACUCCUGUUCGUCUGGCAGUGUGGUUGUUUGGAUGAAGCUAAAGCAAUGCUAUACCCAGAGAUUAUUUUUAGUCACACUAACAGGCUGCGUUCUGCUUUUCCUUGUGCUGGAGAUAUUCCUCUUUCCUCUGCACAUCUCUGCAUGCACAGCCUGGAUGAGAAGGGACAGAGAUCAAUGCUGCAGCCACCCUGUGUCCUGCAGCCCACCCGAAACCUCCAGCCUGCUUCAGUCAUCUAGGGUCCCCGCUCAGUGUUGAUGCUGCAGGCAGCUCUGGCUCUUGGUUCCCAUUCACUCUUGAUAGUCCCGGCCUGGUGCAAGGGACUAACCAAGCCCCAGAAGUCUCAUUUUUGGAUCACCUCCCCAGUUCCAAGAUCGUGGGUGGGACUGCCACCCACAGCAAGAGACCAGUGCUAAACUCCCACCUUCAGCCAGUGAUGCGCUGCAGGCAUCUGCCCUCUCCUGAGUCUCAGUACAACUUCUACGUGCUCCUGAAUCUGUUGGUCCCUGCCAGCCAUGGGGUCUCCAUCCUAUCCACCCAUCCUCUUUCCAGCACCAUAAACCACCAUUCUUGGAGAAGACAACCCUGAGCAGGUGGGCAGAGCACAUCACACACCUUGUGCAUGAGGGACUCGUGUGUGUCCAAUACAGAGGAGUCAUCAGGCAGUCAAUUAGAGCCAGUGCUGUGCUCCCGCUGAAGUCUAUUAUCAGGGUUUUAGCCGACUGCGCCCUGUUUGGGAUAACUGAUGUGAGCAGGGUGGGAGAGAGGCAGCAGGAAGCCCCAGAAAGGAGGAUUUGUGCUCUGGCUGGUGUGGGGGAGUGAAAUCACACGCUGUUUCUCACCGGGAUUUCUCAGUAGCAGAGCGUUUUGUUCAUCUCCUUCCCUCCUGCUUGGAGAGUGAUGUCCCAGGAGCAUCAGGAAGCAGCUGUGGCCUGGAUUACCUGGUCUGAUGCAGUGCUGUGAUAAAGCCCAGCUCCUUCACAGCCCUCGGGGAGGAGGAAGGAAGCAGCACAAUAGCCAAGGGCCGGAGGAAGGGUCCGUGCAGGAAGACACCCCUCCCUCUUUCCUACCCUUCGCCUUGCAUCUGGGGACGCCCUGGGAGCAGCCCCUUCCCUUGGACGCCAGCCAUGCUGGAGGCGGGGGGACGUGUCUCAGUAUGGGCUGUGAACUGCAUCACUGCUCGUUUCCCUGCACUCCGGAUGCCGGCAGGAACCGAGGCCUGGAAGUGCAGGUGAGCGGCUCACCCUCGGGGCACCACAACCAGCUGCUGUUCCACAAGAAAGGAUGGGGAGCUGAUUGUACAGGAAGGACCUUUGCAGAGGGUCAGGAGCAGAUGGCAGCAGCACGUACUGCUGUUGCCCUGACCGGGGUUGUGUGUGAUGUGGAGCAGUGCUGAGCAGCCUACGACAGGUACCCCGUCUGUCACACAGCCUGCCAAAGGUGACUGAGGAGGGAGCGCAAGGCACCACGAGGUGCUCCAGCAUGGUGGGACUGUCAGGUGAGACAUGAGGAAGAAAUUUUUUACUGUGGGGGUGAUGAGACACUGGCCCAAGUUGCCCAGAGGGGUGGUGAAUGAGACAUCCCAGGCCAGGCUGGACAGGACUCUGAGCAACCUGACUAUGUCCCUGCUCAUGGCAGGGGUUGGACUGGGUGAGCUUGGAAGGUCCCUUCCAGCACAAACUGUUAUGUGAUUCUAUUCUAUUAUUCUAUGACAUGUCCUCCGCCUGCAGUCAGGCUACUGGUCUCCCCCAAAGAGCCAGACCACACCAGACAGAAGCCAUGGAUGCCACUGCAGACCCACCUGCCUGUCAUGGUCCCAUACCAGGCAGCCUCUUUCACGUGCUCCUCUCCAUCUCAUCAUCACUCUUUGUUUCUCUCACUCCUCUCUCACAUACUCUCAUUCAUGUAGAUCUGCAAGGCUCCCUCUCUGCUGUGGAACUGUCUCCAGGGGCCUCUCUCUCUGCUUUGCUGAGAUUAUUACUUUUCAAAUUUUCUCUUAAACAAUGGCAAACCCUCCCGAGAAAAUGCAGUGCUCCAGGUUGGGAGCCUGUGCACCUCCGCACAGAUUUCCUCGUGCAGACUCUACCUUGCCUUCCCCUCAACCCCCAAGGUGCUGCAGAGGGGGAAAUUCAGACACUGCGCUUGCCUGCAUAGCUCCCAAUAAAGAGUAUCAAACAGGAAUGAAACACAAAAGCCACCUGGGGAAACAUAAAAGCUCCCAAUGCAUUGCUGGGAGGGCUGACAUGGGAACACUGCCUGCCUAAAUGUGAGGAAGGAAUGGGUAAGUAGGAGGAUUCAUCUUCUCUGGGUCCGCACAAGCAGAGCAAUGAAUCAGGAGAUGCUCUCCCCACAUCCACAUGAGCAGACCCCGGCCCCAGACUGCCCGUGCCUCAGGAUGCAGGCUGUGGUCGAGCAGUGCUGCUGUCUGUGGGAAUCUCCAAUUGCUUCUUCAAGCAUGCUGGGAUAAAUGGCACCAUGGGAAUUUAAGCAGGAACCCGAGGACAAGCUCAGCCUGCCUCUCAAAAGCUCGGCUUUCCCGGGAUUGUUGCUGGAGGACUCAGAGGACGUGUCAUUAUCCACUAGAGAAAGCCAGCAGAUAUUUGCUGGGAUUUGUCCAUACGUUCAGCCCCGUCAGAUUCACUUUCCCCUGGGACAAUUCUGGCAUGACUGUUGUUUCCUGCUUGGAGCUGGAGCAGAGGACGGGUGGGGGGCACGUGCAGACCAUCACAGCCACCCACCCCUGCCUCUGCCCCGGAGCCUUUGUUGGGGACGGCGGUGGUGCCAGCUGACCUUCCAGACCUACCAUGCCUCUCUGGGAUUUAUAAACUGAGAUACUGGAUGUUUACAUCCAUUUCUUCCUGCAGGAUGUGUACAAAAGCAUCCUAAACUGGAGCUGCGGGACAGACGCUUGCAAUGAGGCCUCCUAUGCCAUGGGCUAUUCACCAUCAGCCACAGUCACAGCAGAGGUAACCAGAAGAUGCUUGGGCACAGCGGAGCAGAGAACAGGACAUGCACAGAGCCACAGGCAGCAACCUGCACUUCCCACCUGAGGCAGUGGCAGCAGCAGGGACUGGGCUGCAGCUCAGAGUGGAGACCAUGCCUGCUUCAUCACGGGAUGCCGGUACGCCAACACAAAAGCCUCUCUGUCUCAUGUGGCCUCCCUUUUCUCCCCGCUCCUCAACCCUCCCUCAGCCAGGAGCAUGCACAGUGUGCUGCAACCUCCCUCCUGCUCACAUCCUGCCAGGAGAGGACAUCAAGGUAAUGUGACAAAAAGAAACAUCUAGCUGUUUCUUACAAUUUGCCUGCAAGAAAGCAAACCUGUGAACCUCACCUGUGAUCAUCUGCAACACAAGGACCUUGCCUGUGGCAGCUUCUGCCCAAGCUCCAACAUGAACACAGAUCCAUAGCAUCUUUUAUCCUUCUUCUGCAUCUUGGCAUGGCUGGGGGGCACCUACGCUGGACUAGUCUUUUCCUGAAGGACUGUACCCCAUGGAAGGGACCACACUGGAGCAGUUUGUGAAGAUCUGCAGCCCAUGGGAAGGAUUCACAUUGGAGAAGUUAAUGGAGAACUGUCUCCCAUGGGAGGGACCACAUGCUGGAGCAGGUGAAGAGGGUAAGGAGGAAGAGGAAGGACUAGCAGAGACAAUGUGUGAUGAACUGACCACAGCUGACCCUCCCCAUCCCUCUGUGCUGUUUGGAGGGAGGAGGUGGAGAAAUCAAGUUGAGCCCAGGAAUAAGGGAGGAGUGAUGGGAAGGUGUUUUAAGAUUUGGUUUUAUUUUUUAUUAUCCUAUUCUAACUUGAUUGGUAAUAAAUAAAACUGAUUUCCCUGAGAAGAGUCUGUUUUGCCUAUGGUGGUAAUUAGUGAACGAUCUCUGCCUUUUCUUAUCUCAACCUAUGAGCCUUUUGUUAUAUUUUCUCUUGGCUGUCCAGGUGAGGAGGGGAAUGAUAAGCAGCUUUGGUGGGCACCUGAUGUCCAGGAGGGU